UGUGCGGACCGCCGACGUGGCAAGGUCCGCGUCAGUUAUUUCCACUGGGGAAAAAACGCGAGGCGAGGUCCAGUUAAGCCCUAACGCGCUCUGCAUCGCCUUUCUUCUCGCCGCCGCCGCGUCACUCAACUUCUCUCCCUCGCGUCGCAGGUUCUGCCCUCGCCUUCCUCCUCGUCGGCGGAACAUCUUCUCCUCGCCGGCUAGUGAUCUUCUCCUCGCCUUCCUUCUCCCUCGCGUCGCGAGUUCUGCCCUAACGCGGUUCGAGUCUUCUGCCCGCCUUCCUUCUCGCCGAGCCCCCGCCCUUUACUGAUCCUCGCGAGUGCGGCUCACGGCCUUCCGUCGAGAGAACAGAAGACCUCACUGCCGAGCUGCAUCUCGGCUUGUGGAACGGAGCUAGGGUUCCCGUCCCUCACUUGCCGCAGCCUUCCUCGUCUAGCAGCCGUCGGUGUAUCUAGGGUUCCCAUCUCUCAACGCGACCAGUUUCUUUGCAGGUUGUUAUUGAAUGGCAUCAUCAAGUAACAGUAGCAUCAACCAUACCAAAUAUGAAACUGUACGUUGCAGGGACUGCGGAUUAACAGCAUUUGUGCUAGUCUCUAGAUCGAUCAAGAAUCCAGGAAGACUAUAUUAUGGAUGUAGGCAGCAUGGAUGGUUAAAGUGGGUGAGGUCCGAUACUGAACUAAAUGUUGACACCAAUGAUAUACAUUUUAGGAUGUUGCCAAGAGUGGAGUCAAGAUUAGGAAGUGAACACAUUGUUUAUCCUCGAAAUAAUAUGAGAAAUUGGAAUGUACCGCUUAUGGUCUGGAUAUUAGUCAUAGUGAAUUUAUUUCUUUUGGCUAUAUACUUGUUUUGUUUGUUGGUUGGUCUAGUUAAGUAAUGCUAGUUUUGUAAUGUGACAAAGAAAUGUAAUGAUGGAUGAUGUUGACAACGUCUUUGAUGAUGGUUGCAAUCUUUGUAAUGAUGGUUGGUCUGGAUUUUGUAAGUUGUAAUAAAUCAAUUGUUUUGAGUAGUUAUAUACAUAUUUAGUUUUAUUAA